UUGGGAAUGGUGGUCUGGUGUUUUGUUACUGGUUUCUGAUGAGGGUGUUGUUCUGUGGCGUGUAGAACCAUGAAAGAGAAAACAUUACCAGAGAUGAAGAUAAUCAAGGGAAGGGAAUAAGACAAUCAUGAAUAACCAAAAUCCACUUGUAAAAUAAAUGCAAAAAGUAAGUGCAAAUAUUUCAUUCAAGAGGGAGGCCUCAAGAUAUUCGUCCGAUCCUUUGGCUAAUUCUAUUGGCUCUUUAAGAAGACUGGCAAAAAUGUCUCUCACGGCAGUCAUCACUAGCUGGAAGUUGUUGUAGGGGAAGGUUGGCAUGGCAUUUGGGUUACAGCUGUGGUUGCAUGAACUCUGCAGUGGAUAUAGUCCAGAUCCUUCAUUGUUGAGAAAUCCUCCAGCUUCUUCCAGGUUAUCACAGUUACGAACCCACCGACUUAAUGGACUGGUACCGAUGCCUUGACCAUUGGUGCCAACAAGAGCCACCAAGGACCGGAAGCCUUCAGGUGUUAACCACUGAAGGAAAAGAAGAACAAUGGUAAAAUAUUAGCCUUGACAUCUAAUCUUUGCCUAUAACACAAUGAUGUAUUAACAGGUUAAUUCAUGUAUGAAUAACACAUCUAUGGUCAUAUAAUUUAAUAAAAUACAUUGCUAAAAUUC
rnacentral:lncRNA from 1 species